AGGCGCCCUCCGCCCCACCCGCUCUCCCCGCCACGUGGUGGCCGGGCGAGGGCCUCGGGGUAGCGC
rnacentral:pre_miRNA from 1 species